ensembl:lncRNA
GACUCUGUCAAAAAAGAAGAAAAGAAAGAAAGAGAGAGAGAGAGGAAGGAAAGAAAGAAAAAGAAAGAAAGAAAGAAAGAAAGAAAGAAAGAAAGAAAGAGAAAGAAAGAAAAAGAAAGAAAGAAAGAAAGAAAAAGAAAGAAAGAAGAAAGAAAGAAAGGAAGGAAGGAAAGAAGGAAGGAAGGGAAGCAGGAAAGAGAAAGAGAAAGAAAGCAAGGGAAGGAGAGAGGAAGGAAGGGAGGGAGGGAGGGAGGAAGGAAGGAAGGAAGGAAGGAAGGAAGGAAGGAAGGGAGGAAGGGAAAGAGAAGGGAAGAGAAGAGAAAAAAGAAAAAUCCCCCAAAACAGAACAAAACAAACAAACAAACAAAAACCUAUACUUUAGUCCUUACUAGGUCAGAAACAGUGUCUGAAGCUCCACAAAAUCUAACAGAAGACAAGAAAGAAUCAGGUCUCAGACAGCAAACUAGAAUGACUUUCGCGGAGUCUUUGGGUCCAGAAAACAAGUAUACAUGAAUCUAUAAAUAAAGAAAUGAAAGAAAUACACAGCACCGAGAUCUGUUACAGCAGAAAGGAAAAGAAGGGUCCAUUAAAUUUUUGCUGUGAGGUAUGCAGUGGUAAUAACUCAUCUGCUCCCUGUGGUAAUAACAGCUCUGUUGCCAACAUUCAAGAUUUUUUAAAAAUACUAUUUGUUGAAAAUGAAUUGUCUGAGUGUUAACCACCAGUAUUUUUCAAAUAGUAGUGUUUUAUUUCCAGUUAAAUUAUCUUGUUAAUUUUUCCUAUCAGCAUAGCAGUGCAGUGGCUACUACUAUUCUUUCCCAAAUUGGAAAAAUGAAUAACCCAGAUACUCUUUUAAAAAUAUUCAUUUCAAUGUGUUUGCAGUAUUGAAAUAAAAUUUAAAAAUGCAAGUGACUCUAGAUGACUGAAAAUGUCUUCAAUAUAUGUAAACAAUUAACUUUAUUAGGAAAAUUAUCUUCAGUGUACAGAAACACAUGCAUGCAUAUUCACAUUCUAUGUUUAAUUUAACAUUUAAAUUCUAAUGUGUAAUAUAUAGACAUCCAACAGAUUUAUUUUGUUUUCCUUUUAUUUCACUCUCUCUGUCUGUUUCUCUCUCUUACUCAUUUUAUUUUUGUUUGUUUCUAUUAUCUGCUCUUCUAAAAAUUUUAAGUGAAACAGAAUAUUAUCUCAAUUUUUAAGUUGAGACCAUUGUACACCUGAUAUCAUGCAGUCAUUUUUAUUAAGAUCACUAAUAUAGAUGGAUCUUGGUUGUUCUUUGGGUUAUAGUAAUAAUUCUAUCAGUGAAAUCAAAACAACUAUUAAGCAGUCUAUGCACAAUUUAGAAUUUACUCUUUCCAUAUAAUUUUAAAAUACAGAAAAGUCAACCAUACUUGAUAUAAUUUUAAGCAUCUAAUCCUAGAAAAUUAGCAAAAUAAUAUACAAAAAUUCAGAAAGAAUUGAUGUAUGUUUACCAUUGCAAAAUAUGAAAUUAAUAUAUGGCUUUUUCUUUUUUUAUUUCUGAUUAAAUUAUAGCUGAAUUUUUAUAUUCCACACAAAUAGAUAAAAAUAAUAAGUGAAAAGGGAAUUUGCUGAUAGUAUUAACACCUUAUCUGAAGAUUUAACUCUUGCUGCUGGUUCUUCAUCUUUUCAUGUAGGUACAUUAUUUACCACGUAACAUUGCAGUUCCUCCCACAGUUUCAGAGGACACUGUUCUCUAUCUGGUUUUAGGUUUAGCCAAGUGAUUUGAUUUGCCAAAUGGGGUGGGUGUGACAUAAGGAGAACCUUAAGAUGUGCUUGUGCAAUGGGAUUUUUCUUUUGUGUUUUUAACAUAACCAUGAGAAGAGAUUUCCUCUUCUAUCAGUUGCAUCUUCAGCUUGGACCUAAGAAUAAUUUCUUGUGGCACAUAGCCUAAAGAGUCUGAAGAAAAAAAAAAAAAAACCAGAAAAUCUGAAUAGAACUACAAGGAAUAAAGAUAUUGGAUACAUAAUUAAAUACCUAUAAAAAAAUAAAAUGCCAAGGCUAGAUGGUUUCACUGGAAAAUUCCACCAAAUAUUUAAAGAAAGAUUAAUAUCUAUUAAUCUCAAAUUCUUCCAAGAAGUAGAAGAGAAGGGAAUACUAGUUAACUUAUCCUAUGAGGCUGGUAUUACAAGGACAUCAGAAUAAGACACCUGCUUUCACCGCUUUUACUUAACAUAAUACUAGCAGUGCUGCCUAAAAUAUGACAAGAAAAAAAAGAAAACAAAAAAACAGCAUCCAAACACAAAAGGUAAAAGGAAUGGUAUUUUCUAGAUAACAUGAGUCUAUACAUAGACCAUAUUAAAGAAUCCAGACAUACCCAAAAACUGUUGGAGGUAACAAGUGAAGUAUCAAAGUUGCAAGAUACAAGAUCAAUACUCAAAAAAUUAUUUGCUUUACCAUAAAUUACCAAUCAAUGAUUAGAAAAGAAAAUUAAGAAAAUAAUUAUAUUUAUAAUAGCAUCACAAAUGAUAAAAUACUGGAGACUAAUUUAAUCAAGAUGGUACAAGACCCUACACUAAAAACCACAAAUCAUUGCUGAAAUUAAAGUAAAUCUAAACAAAUAAAAAUAUGUUCCAUAUCCAUUGGCUGCAUGACAGCAUUUUCAAGAUGGCAAUGUUCCCUAAAGCAGUCUAUACAUUCAAAGCAAAAAUUUUUAAAUAUCUGCACAAAAAUGCAAAAUUUCUGCAAAAAUUUAUCUUUUUGAAACAGAAACAGAAAUCCUAAUAUUUUCAUAAAAUUAAAAGGGCCCAGAAUAGCCAAAAUAAUACUGAAAAUAACAAAGUUAGAGAAUUCACAUUUCUCAAUUUUAAAAUUUACUACAAAUCUACCUUAAUCAAAACAGUGUGCUAUUGGCAUAAGGCUAGACAUAAGAAUCAAUGAAAUAAAUUGACUAUUGAGAAAUCAAUACAUACAUCUAUAGUAAAUUUACUUUUGUCAAGGGCUCUGAGACCACAAAAUAGGGAAAAGAUAUAUCUUCAACAAAUUAUGUUAUGAUAACUGAUAUUCACUUGCCAAACAAAAAAAUUACCCUAUACCAUAUAGAAAAACAUAACUAAAAAUUGAUAAAAAAUCUAGAUAUGUACUAAAACUAUGAAACUCUUAGAAAUGUAAAUAUGAUUACAUUUUAAGGACCUUGGAUUUGUUAAGAGAUUCUUAGAUAUGACACCAAAUGUACAAUAAACAGUAUAUUAAAAU